rnacentral:misc_RNA from 1 species
GAUGAAGAAGUAGCGAAAUGCGAUACUUGGUGUGAAUUGCAGAAUCCCGUGAACCAUCGAGUCUUUGAACGCAAGUUGCGCCCGAAGCCAUUAGGCCGAGGGCACGCCUGCCUGGGCGUCACACGUCGUUGCCCCCCCAUCUACUCCUUCGGGAUUGCGGGGGGCGGAUGAUGGCCUCCCGUGCGCCUCGCCGCGCGGUUGGCAUAAAUGCCAAGUCCUCGGCGACGCACGCCACGACAAUCGGUGGUUGCGAAACCUCGGUUGCCCGUCGUGUGCGGUCGUCGCGCAUCGAGGGCUCGAAAAAAUUGCCGGGUUCCGGCUCGGCUUUCAACGCGACCCCAGGUCAGGCGGGGUUACCCGCUGAAUUUAAGCAUAUCAAUAAGCGGAGGA